CGGAGGGUGCAAGCGUUAUCCGGAUUCACUGGGUUUAAAGGGUGCGUAGGUGGGCAAGUAAGUCAGUGGUGAAAUCUCCGGGCUUAACCCGGAAACUGCCAUUGAUACUAUUUGUCUUGAAUACUGUGGAGGUCAGCGGAAUAUGUCAUGUAGCGGUGAAAUGCUUAGAUAUGACAUAGAACACCAAUUGCGAAGGCAGCUGGCUACACAAAUAUUGACACUGAGGCACGAAAGCGUGGGGAUCAAACAGGAUUAGAUACCCUGGUAGUCCACGCCCUAAACUAUGGAUACGCGACAUUUGCGAUAAACUGCAAGUGUCUGAGCGAAAGCAUUAAGUAUCCCACCUGGGAAGUACGAUCGCAAGAUUG
rnacentral:rRNA from 1 species